rnacentral:rRNA from 1 species
AUACGUAGGUGGCAAGCGUUAUCCGGAAUUAUUGGGCGUAAAGAGUGAGCAGGCGGUUAAUUAAGUCUGAGGUUAAAGCGUGGGGCUCAAACCCAUAAAGCCUUGGAAACUGAUUGACUAGAGUACGGGAGAAGUGACGGGAACUCCAUGUGUAGCGGUGAAAUGCGUAGAUAUAUGGAAGAACACCAGUGGCGAAGGCGCUUCACUAGCCCGAAACUGACGCUCAGUCACGAAAGCGUGGGUAGCAAAUAGGAUUAGAUACCCUAGUAGUCCACGCUGUAAACGAUGACAACUAAAUAUUGCCGCGAGGCAGUGUUGAAGCUAACGCAUUAAGUUGUCCGCCUGGGGAGUACGGUCGCAAGACUGAAACUUAAAGGAAUUGGCGGGG